rnacentral:rRNA from 1 species
UACCCGCUGUUUAAGCAUAUCACUAAGCGGAGGAGAAGAAACUAACCAGGAUUUCCCUAGUAACGGCGAGCGAACCGGAAAGAGCCCAGCUUGAAAAUCGGGGUGCUUCGUGCCCCGAAUUGUAGUCUGGAGAAGCGUCCUCUGCAGCGGGUCGGCCCCAAGUUCCCUGGAAUGGGAUGCCCAAGAGGGUGACAGCCCCGUCGAGGCCGGUCCCUGCUGCUCCACGAGGCGCGAUCUGCGAGUCGGGCUGUUUGGGAAUGCAGCCCUAAGUGGGUGGUAAAUUCCAUCUAAGGCUAAAUAUUGGCAAGAGACCGAUAGCGAACAAGUACCGCGAGGGAAAGAUGAAAAGGACUUUGAAAAGAGAGUUAAACAGUGCUUGAAAUUGCUGGGAGGGAAGCGAAUGGAAGCUGCGGGUGUGCCCCGGUUGGAUGUGGAACGGCUUCGGCUGGUCUGCCGCUCAACGCGGGGCACUGGUCAGCGUGGGCUACCUCGGCGGGACAAGAGCGGGAUGUAGUUUCCCGCCUAUGCCGCCGAGGUGGCCGAGGCACGAAGCGCGCGGCCCCUCGGGGUCGUGGGACUCGUCCCAACUGCGCGCUCGGGACGCUGGCGUAUUGAGCUCUUCAUCCGACCCGUCUUGAAACACGGACCAAGGAGUCUAACAUGUAUGCGAGCAGGUGGGCGGCAAACCCAUUGAUGCGUAAGUAAACUGACAGGUGGGACCCCCCUCAAAAGGGCGCACCAUCGACCGACCGUGAUCUUCUGUGAAAGGUUUGAGUGUGAGCAUACCUGUUGGGACCCGAAAGAUGGUGAACUAUGCCUGAGCAGGGCGAAGCCAGAGGAAACUCUGGUGGAGGCUCGUAGCGAUACUGACGUGCAAAUCGUUCGUCAGACUUGGGUAUAGGGGCGAAAGACUAAUCGAACCAUCUAGUAGCUGGUUCCCUCCGAAGUUUCCCUCAGGAUAGCUGGAGCUCGUGUAAGAGUUUUAUCAGGUAAAGCGAAUGAUUAGAGGCAUCGGGGGUGUAACACCCUCGACCUAUUCUCAAACUUUAAAUAGGUAAGCCGCCGGGGUUGCUUGGUUGAACCCCGGCACAGAAUGAGA